GCCAGGCAUGGUGGCUCAUGCCUGUAAUCCCAGCUACUCAGGAGGCUGAGGCAGGAGAAUCGCUUGAACCCGGGAGGUGGAGGUUGCAGUGAGCCGAGAUCGCGCCACUGCACUGUAGCUUGGGUGACAGAGUGAGACCCUGUCUCAC
rnacentral:SRP_RNA from 1 species